rnacentral:lncRNA from 1 species
AAAAUUGAUUGCAAGUUUUGUCGAAUUGAGUGGAGGGUAUAGAAAGUAUAGAUUCUUGGUAAUGGGAUUAUGGGAGUUUAAUUAGUAUGUAAAUUAGAUAAAAUAAUGGGUAUUUUAAAUUAAAUGGUUUGUUAGAGGAAAAUUAAUUAAUAAAUUACCUACUUUGAACUAAGUAAAAGAAAUGGAAUUCUAGGAUUAGUUAAUUAAUGUAAUAGAGAGAGAGAGAGAGAGAGAGAGAGAGAGAGAGA